UAAUGGGUGAGAGCGUGCCUUUUGUAGAAUGAACCGGCGAGUUACGAUAUGAUGCGAGGUUAAGUUGAAGAGACGGAGCCGUAGGGAAACCGAGUCUUAAUAGGGCGAUUUAGUAUCAUGUUGUAGACCCGAAACCAUGUGACCUACCCAUGAGCAGGUUGAAGGUGAGGUAAAACUCACUGGAGGACCGAACCAGGGCACGUUGAAAAGUGCUUGGAUGACUUGUGGGUAGCGGAGAAAUUCCAAACGAACUUGGAGAUAGCUGGUUCUCUCCGAAAUAGCUUUAGGGCUAGCGUCGAUGUUAAGUCUCUUGGAGGUAGAGCACUGUUUGGGUGAGGGGUCCAUCUCGGAUUACCAAUCUCAGAUAAACUCCGAAUGCCAACGAGAUAUCAUCGGCAGUCAGACUGCGAGUGCUAAGAUCCGUAGUCGAAAGGGAAACAGCCCAGACCACCAGCUAAGGUCCCAAAAUAACUGUUAAGUGGAAAAGGAUGUGGGGUUGCACAGACAACUAGGAUGUUAGCUUAGAAGCAGCUAUUCAUUCAAAGAGUGCGUAAUAGCUCACUAGUCGAGUGACCCUGCGCCGAAAAUGUACCGGGGCUAAAACAGUUUACCGAAGCUGUGGAUGACACAAAAGUGUCAUGGUAGGAGAGCGUUCUAUGUGUGAAGAAGGUGUACCGUGAGGAGCGCUGGAACGCAUAGAAGUGAGAAUGCCGGUAUGAGUAGCGAAAGACAGGUGAGAAUCCUGUCCACCGUAAGACUAAGGUUUCCAGGGGAAGGCUCGUCCGCCCUGGGUUAGUCGGGACCUAAGGAGAGACCGAAAGGUGUAUCCGAUGGCCAACAGGUUGAUAUUCCUGUACUAGAGUAUAUAGUGAUGGAGGGACGCAGUAGGCUAACUAAACCGGACGAUUGGAAGAGUCCGGCUAAGCAGUGAGGUGUAAGAUGAGUCAAAUGCUUAUCUUUAUAACAUUGAGCUGUGAUGGGGAGCGAAUUUUAGUAGCGAAGUUAGUGAUGUCACACUGCCAAGAAAAGCUUCUAGCGUUUAAUGAUACUCUACCCGUACCGCAAACCGACACAGGUAGUCGAGGCGAGUAGCCUCAGGUGAUCGAGAGAACUCUCGUUAAGGAACUCGGCAAAAUGACCCCGUAACUUCGGGAGAAGGGGUGCUGACUUAGGUCAGCCGCAGUGAAUAGGCCCAAGCAACUGUUUAUCAAAAACACAGCUCUCUGCUAAAUCGUAAGAUGAUGUAUAGGGGGUGACGCCUGCCCGGUGCUGGAAGGUUAAGAGGAGGGUUUAGCGCAAGCGAAGAUCUGAAUUGAAGCCCC
rnacentral:rRNA from 1 species